rnacentral:misc_RNA from 1 species
GCACUCUCCCUCUUUAGGAAGCGACGUCAGUAAUUCGCACGCGUAUCGGUUGCUCGCAACGAGUGCUCACGAUAUAGUUAAUGCCUCUCUUGUUGGCGGCUCUUGUCUUAUAUAUUUGUGGUAAUGGCGACGACGGGCUAUCGAGGGAGGGAAAUCAUCGAAAAGUAGUGUAGUCGGUCGUGACGAAUAGGACUUAAGUGGAGGGCACGAAAGCGACCGAAUAAAACCGAGGUCGCGAAUGUCGACGAGCGAGCCUCUUUCUCUCUCUUCGUUCAGUGCUCCGGUCCAGUGUAUGCACAGCGACCGGCCGGCGUGCAUGGUUGUGAUAAUGUUAUUGUAUUCUUUGAACUGAACAGUUUUUUAUGUUUCCCAUUACGUUAUGUUGAUUCCAUGGAUGACACAACGUGUUCACGACACAAAUUAGCUGCGAUUAAUCAAUGUGUUCCGUUCUGUGUUUCUGAAUGGCGUCAGGCCUCUGCGAAGGCUUGUUCGCUCCCAUUCUCAUCCAGAUCUCGACUCCGGUUACGCAGUCAUGGAGUUCGCGGUCUCGUCUCAGAGAGGAAUUGCCCGCGACUUGAUGUGCGUUUUUCGAUGUCGGUUAUUUAUUUCGCAUAACAGUUGUCGUGUAUUAUUAUAUGGCGGGAGACAAUGUUUUCUUGAAUCGAUAAAGGUAUACUGUCAAAAAAUCGGAAGAAAGGAAAGGAAAGCAUUAGAAAGAGAAACAGAGAGAGUGAGAAGAAAGAGGGAAAGGGAUAGGAAAGAGAGAGAUGGAAAAGGCGAUUGCUAAUGAAGCAAGACUAAGAUGACUGUGCAUAGUUCCGAGCACAAUCAUUAAAGAACGUAAAUUCCCUGUACAGGAUAGGCAUAGUGAAUAACAGCAGAAAGUGGGACAAAAAGCGGAAGUGGAAGAGUGCGUAUGAGUGUACAUGACAUAAUGUGAGAAGAAAAUUCAGGAAAAAGAAUAUAAGACAAGAACAUUCGACGAUCGAGAUAAAGUAGGGGAAAUACUCGUAGUGGAAAUAAAGAAGAAAGACACACGAAGCUGGCGACUCAAGCACGUAAGAGCAGCUCCCGCGGGACUCGGUCCCGACACCGGGCCAAUGGCGGUUCACUUUCCAGCCGCGGUAGCGCUACAAGGAUGCAAUGCGGCUUAUGCACUGUCGUUGCUGACCUGUUCCGUCGUGCCAUGUGCAUCGCGGAUAGUCGACGUGGCUCUGGAGAGUCUUGCUAUCAGGAGUUGGCUACAGAUGUGCCAGAACGGAGGCACUCGCAAGUAGAGGAACAUGUGACGACCACGCUUAUCAAAACAAACGAGAUCGUGGAGAAAGGGAAAGACAUCGCUCAAAUUCAAGAGUCAAUCGGAACGUGGUCAAUCUCAACGUGGUCAAUCGGGACCGUGGUCAAUAUCAACGUGGCCAAACGGGUGCCACUCGCUCAGAAACGAACAACGGAAGUAACAGUGAACAGCGAAGAAAAUGCAGUAUUUGUGCGUAUUUCUAAUAGCAGUGCAUUUAAUGCUGACACAUCACUACCAGAGGCACAUAAUGGGUUUGCAACGAGAGCAGAGUUCAAGCAUUUAUCAGAUGCGGAUCGAAUUACGCUGGAGAGUCUAGAUGUCAAUCGAUAUAGGCCCAGACAUACCGGGCGGUUUUUGACAAUGCACAAAAGACGACGUAAAAGACUUAUCACUAGGUCCCUAAAUCAAGAACCUGGUAUCUUGGAUGAUAUUUUCCAUGGACUAGUACAGUGCGUGUUACAAAAAGCUGGAAACUGGCAAUUUAAUGCGUUCACCCUUGAGACUGUCACCGGUGGUCGUUCACUGCCAGUAUUAUGCGUGCAUCUGUUUUAUUGGUACGGACUUUUACAACAUUUUAAUUUAGAUGUUGUAACAGUAUGGAAGUUAUUUGCUUUCAUCGAGGAAGGUUAUCAUGGCACAAAUCCUUACCAUAACAGUAUACAUGCGGCGGACGUCACUCAGGCAAUGCAUUGCUUCCUUCAAGAAAAAAAGAUUCAAAUACAUGUUACCAAGGUAGAAAUUAUGGCUUCCUUAAUAGCAGCUGUAACGCACGACCUAGAUCAUCCUGGUGUCAAUCAGCCGUUUCUGGUCGCGACAAGUAAUCAUUUAGCUGCACUUUAUAAGAACACUUCGGUUCUUGAAAAUCAUCAUUGGAGAUCAGCCAUUGGAUGCCUUUUAGAAAGUGGUGUAUCAGCACAAUUACAAGAAAAUAUAAGACUGGAACUUGAACGGCAUAUCAAGUCACUAAUUUUAGCGACAGAUAUUACAAGACAGCAAGAGUUUCUCACGCGUUUCAGGGAUUAUUUAGGCAACAAUUCUCUCGAAAUGAAGCGUGCUGAAGACCGUCAUUUUAUUUUACAAAUUGCGCUAAAAUGUGCUGACAUUUCUAACCCAUGUAGACCAUGGAACAUAUCUAGAAAAUGGUCUUACAAAGUUUGUGAAGAAUUCUUUAGGCAAGGCGAUUAUGAACGUCGUUUAAAUCUUCCUGUGACACCGUUAUGCGAUCGGCACAGUACUAGUAUUCCAAAAAUCCAGGCUGGCUUUUUUAAACACGUCGUUACUCCUCUCUAUGUAGAAUGGCAUCGUUUUCUCAGUGAUGGUCUCAGCGUGUCAUUAAUGGAAUAUUUAAAAGCGAAUCAAAAAAGAUGGGAAACUUUGCUUAGUCAAGAAGCGGUCGAAGAAACGGAAACUGAGAUAUCAAAGUUAAAUGAAAAUGAAGAUACCACUAGCUCAGGUGAAGAAACAUCCAUAAACAUCGAUGAAGAUUCAAGCAAUAUUGAUUUACUAAUAUCGACUGCUUUUACAGUGCAAACAACGCGAAUACAGACAUUUCCAGAUCAGAUUGGACUUAAUCGCGUUGACAGACGUCAUUCUAUACCUCUAAGCGUAUCAAAAUCAUUGACUCCACGUCAAGUUAUUAGGAGAGAAAGUUUGCCAAUUGAGAAAAUCAAGGCGAAGAAUGUUUUGUUGAAGCUAGAAGAGCAAAGUUUAUUAGAACCUAAUACUAUAUCUUUGUUGUCCUCUAAAAACAGUAUCGUUGAAUUGUCGAAUGCCAGUGUUUUCGAGAGACCGGUCAGCACAGAGAAUCUUUUGCCAGAAACAAGUAUAGCCAGCAUUACUAGCAAUACCGAAGCCUCACGAUUAAAUACAAUUCUGCAAUCAGAAAAUAAGCCCAACAUGCAAGCCAAACAACUCGCGCGGCAACAGACUUUCCCUCCGUUACAACCGUACGCAAGAAUUAGAUAUAUGUCCACGACAGCGGAAAUGACGCAGUGUUACAAAGAAAUUCUAAUGGAAGCUAAUAGUUCCUCCACUUACUCGACUCUCACGAAGGAUAAAUCAUGUUCAAGCGGCCAAUGCUGCUCGUUAUCGCCGUUGCCAUUAUCACCACAUGAUGAUACCACUUUGUACCACCAGAAGAAGUCUAAGGUCCUAAAAACCUCUAAAGAAUUAUUAACAGUAGAUAUGCCUACCAUAAAGCAAAAUCCAACUUCGUUAGACAUGAUUAAACUGAAAUGUAUUGUUAGUUCGGAACGCCGCCAUUCUAUGAAAACUAUUCAUACCGAUGACUUCAUUUCCACGCAUCAAUAUAAAAGACCUUGUUCUGCUCAAGAUUCCAAUUCCACGCAGAUAUUUUAUGCUUUAUUAACGAGUUCCCAUAGUGAUAGAAGCAACUAUAUUUCUGAUACGCCGGGAUAUAAAGAUUUAGAUCGUAAUGUUAAACAUAAAUAUUACGAUACAAAGUCAAUGCUUCAAGAACCACGGACUACGUCAUCAUGCAAAAAGUCAGAUCAAUGUAUUUUGGCUAAAAACAUAUGUUCUUCACAAGAAUCGCGAAGAUACUCAAUCCCUAUUAUGAAACAUAACACGAUAACGAUCAACAAUACAGGUAGAAGAUAUACCACAAUACCUGUAUCUUCUGAGUUUAAUAUACACAAAGUGUUCUUCAUUGGUAGUCCACCCGGUUCGCCAUCACGUAAUUAUGAUGUAUCCUCAUUAAAUGACAAUUGUAGCGAAUCAAGAAAGAGCAUCGAUGAUUCAAGCAACGAGAUUAUUGACAGUAAAAGAGAAUUGGAUUAUGCAAAGGAAAAGAGUUCAAAAAUUCUGCAGUUGAGUCCUGAUACACAGAUGAAAGAGAAUGUUGAUCCUCGUAAGACUGAUGACUUCAACAAAGCAAUAGCAUUGUUUCGUAGGAGCACUCAGGGAUUAACAAGAAGACGUGGUUCAGCUCCAGUUGGUCUUUUAUCCAAAGUGGAUGAUUGUAUUUCAACUUCUGUAUCUAUCAGAGUUGAUCAUAAUCGAAGACGCGGAUCUGUACCAGCUGAUAUUACCAAACACCAAGAGCUCCGAAAUAUAGGUGAACCCGGGAAAGGAAGGGCGUAACAGAGACCCUCUCGCGUAUUGUCGUACUUAGGCUACGCGUGUGAAUCAAGCUGACCGAUGCGCUCCGGUUGCAAGGUCACCGAUCUGAAGGGUCGAUUUUACCCUGAGUUCGGAAAGUCCACUCGUUGGUCCUUUUGAGGUUAAGGAACUGAAUCCCUAUUACUUGAGGUGUUGAACGCAAGUUAUUCGCAAGAGUAUUUUACUGCUAAAAAGGAAUCAGACUGGUUGAUAACGCGACAAGUGGUGGCAAACAUUCAAAUACGCAGCAAGACAGAUUUAAGAAACAUGGAGUAAAACGGAAUUUUUAAAGGGAAUAAUCGUGAAUGAGCGUAAAUAACAACUAACAGACGCUGCAGGUAGUAAAUCGAGGGCUAAGAAAGAGAGUAAGGAAAACUCAGUUAAUCGCAAGAACCCUUAUUUCGGUGGCACGAAGUAUUGAAACAUGUGUUUGACUUACUACUUGAUGAAUAACUGUCUGCGACCACCUGGAUCCAGCUGACAAUGCAAGGAGGAAGUGGGUGGUCAGAUCCGUGUGUGCUAAGUUCGGAUUGGAAUUUCACUGGUUCACUUGUAUCGGUUCUUAAAGUCACUGAAUUUCACUGACUCUAACUACUCGGACUGAAUUCACGCAGAACUUGGCUGUUUGAAAACGAACUGAUGGUUGUUCAUAAAAGUGAAACCCUUGUCGGAUUAAAGAACUCCGCGAGUUUGGGUGAUCGAGAAAAUGUGAACUAUUACAGUGAAAACCUGGUACUAAAGACGUAAGGAAGACUGACUAACGGAAAAGUGCAAGAGCGGAAUAACUGUAACCUGUAACUGACGAGGUCUGCGUCUCGUUUUUUACGUGAAAAAUUGUGCAUCACCGAGAGGGGAUUUUUUAGUAACAAUUUGGAAUUCGGGAGAAAGGAGGUCUCCUGGAGUGUGACUGGUUAAUCGCGGUGGUUGCCUUUCAGGGAUUGGUGGGUGUCUUGUGGUCCAUGCCCCUCCCAGGAACAAUCUCGCAUAUGGUCUAGUCUAAUGGUCACCUUGUUAUAAUUAUUCAGCGGACAGUUGUUUUUAAAGUUAUGACCUUUAAGGGUAAUGUGUCUGUUACCUUUUUGUUUUGGUAUAUCUCUCGCAACCGAAUAUUUAUGUGACCCUUAAGAUUUUGAAUGCGGAUCGGUCGCGACCCUCUAUUUCCACGCAGCGCAUGUCGUCGAUUGUAAAAUCUUAUACCCUACGCCGUCUGUUUAAUAUUCGAAGCUAGACUCUGGUCUAUGAUUCCUUGAACUUUACAAGAUAUCUUUAGUUAUCAUCAAUAUGCUCAGCCUUCUAUGAUCCCAUUGUCCCUUGUAAACAUUCGGGGUAAGACCGCUUUGCUGCUAUACCGUGCUUCCUGGCGGUAAUGCGA